rnacentral:rRNA from 1 species
GACGAACGCUGGCGGCGUGCUUAACACAUGCAAGUCGAACGAAGUGGCGAACGGGUGAGUAACGCGUAAUCAACCUGCCCUUCAGAGGGGGACAACAGUUGGAAACGACUGCUAAUCCCGCAUACUGAAGGAGGGGAUUGCGUCUGAUUAGCUGGGUGGAGGGGUAACGGCCCACCAAGGCGAUGAUCAGUAGCCGGGCUGGGAGGAUGGACGGCCACAAUGGGACUGGGGCAAGGGCCAGAAUCCUACGGGAGGCAGCAGUGGGGAAACUUCCGAAAUGGGCGAAAGUCUGACGGAGCAACGGCGGGUGGGUGGUGACGGCCUUCGGGGUGUAAAGCUCUGUUAAUCGGGGCGCGGUACCGGAAUAGAAAGCCACGGCUAACUACGUGCCAGCAGCCGCGGUAAUUC